GGGGAGCUGGGGCAGGUAGGGGUGUGAGGGACCAGACCAAGGAGUUCUGGGAGAACUGGGGCAGGUAGGGGUGUGAGGAACCAAGCCCAGCAUCUAGAAUGGGAUUAGAGCAGGUGACGUUUGAGAGGCUAGAGGAAGCAGCUACAGAGGGGCUGGUGCAGAUGGGAGUUCGGGAUGCCAGGCCAAACAGCCCCAGGAAAGCAGAUGGGCAUUUUAGGCUGGCAGUGAGAGGUACCACGCCAGGCAGCUUCCAAUGAGAAAGUACUAGUGGUCGUGUGGAGGGCUAAACCAAGCAGCUAUUGGAUAACUGGUUAGUAGGGGUGUGAGGGACCAGGUCAAGCAGUUCCAGGAGAUCUGGGGCUGAUAGAGGUGUGGGGGAUUGGGCUGAAAAGCUACACAGCAUCUGGAGCAGGUGGAGUUGAUGGUGGUCCAGGAGCUCAAGGACCAAGAUAACCCUGGGGCAGCCACAACAACAGCCCCAUCUGUCUAUCCACUGGCUCCUGGAUGUGGAGGCACAUCUGGCUCCACAGUGACCCUGGGAUGCCUGGUCAAGGGCUAUUUCCCCGAGCCGGCAACCGUAACCUGGAACUCUGGAUCCCUGACCAGCGGUGUGCACAUCUUCCCAUCCGUCCUGCAUUCUGGUCUCUACUCCCUCAGCAGCUCAGUGACUGUGUCCUCCAGCACCUGGCCCAGCCAGUCCGUCGUCUGCAACGUAGCCCACCCGGCCAGCAAAACCAAGGUGGACAGGAAAAUUGAGCCCAGAAAAAUACCAGAUCCAUGUGAUGGGUGCAAGUGUCCAUCUCCUGAUCUCUCGGGUGGACCAUCCGUCUUCAUCUUCCCCCCAAAGCCCAAGGAUGUGCUCAUGGUCUCCCUGGCCCCCAAGAUCACGUGUGUGGUGAUAGACGUGAGCGAGGAUGACCCAAAUGUCCAGUUCAGCUGGUUCGUGAAUGAUAAAGAAGAGCGCACAGCUCAGACGCAGACCCACGAGGAGCAGUACAACAGUACCUUGCGUGUGGUCAGUGUCCUCCCCAUCCAGCACCAGGACUGGAUGAGUGGCAAGGAGUUCAAAUGCAAGGUCAACAACAAAGCCCUCCCAAGCCCCGUCGAGAGAACCAUCUCAAAACCCAAAGGGCAAGUCCGAAUGCCAGAGGUAUACACAUUUGCUCCACCUGUGGAACAGAUGACCAAAACAGAGGUCAGCUUGACCUGCUUGGUCACAGGCUUCCUCCCUGAGGACAUCCAUGUGGAGUGGGAGAGCAGCGGGAAACAAGAGCAGAACUACAAGAACACGCUGCCUGUCGCGGACGCCGACGGGUCUUACUUCAUGUACAGCAAGCUCAACGUGCCAAAGAGCAGGUGGGAUCGAGGAGAUAGCUUCACCUGCUCCGUGUUACACGAGUCUCUGCACAACCACAUCACACAGAAGACCCUCUCCCGAUCUCGGGAGCUAGAACUGGACGACAGCUGUGCUGAGGCCCAGGACGGGGAGCUGGACGGGCUCUGGACGACCAUCACCAUCUUCAUCACCCUCUUCCUGCUCAGCGUGUGCUACAGUGCCACUGUCACACUCUACAAGGUGAAGUGGAUCUUCUCCUCCGUGGUGGAGCUGAAGCAGACACUGGCCCCUGACUACAGGAACAUGAUUGGGCAGGGGGCCUAGGCCACUUCCUCUGGGAUGAUCAGGGUCCUCUUAGGCCCUGCGGAACCCCGUCCAUCCUACUGUGCAGCCUAACAUGGAGGCCACACUGCCCUCUGACAUCGCCAUCCUCUGACUCUACAACUCUCUGAAUCAACACUCUCCAUUGUUGACCCUUUGGAGGAUCAUGUGGACAACAGGCUCUGUCCCAGACCUGGGCAACACCUCCACAACAGUUUCCAGAUAACUAACUGGUCGGGGCAAAAGGACCAUCUCCCUACAAACUGGCACCAGGAGAUCUGAGACCUCAGAACUUUUGCUCAGGAGGACCUGGGAGCCCACAUUGCCUCGGUCCAGCCGUGUGGGGAUCAGCCUUGGAGCUGUCCUUACCUACACCAUCCUCUGAAAGGGGUUUUCCCAGAAAGGGCAAAGUUUUUGAAUCCUUGAAAGGAGACAUCUGCUAGGAAGACCAGGGUCACCACAGCCCGAAGGGAGUUCCAGAAGAGACUUCUGAAAGUCAUUCUGGUAGCCUUUGCGCCAGCUAUACGUGGGCAGCUUCCUUCCUGGCACUUCUGUGAACCCUAGGCCAAGGAAAGGCCUUGUGUCUCUCAAACUGUUGGGACGAGCCUCCUGAAGAUGAGAGUCCUUGUGCAGACCCCUCUUCCUGCUACCCGCUCAACAUGCUGGAUUCUCAGACGCAGGAGCCAACCCACAGACACCGUUGACGACAAAAC